rnacentral:rRNA from 1 species
UNGCGGCAUGCCUAACACAUGCAAGUCGAACGGCAACGGGGUCUAGCUUGCUAGAUUGCCGGCGAGUGGCGAACGGGUGAGUAAUGCGCAGGAAUAUGCCUUAAAGAGGGGGACAACUUGGGGAAACUCAAGCUAAUACCGCAUAAGCUCUUAGGAGUAAAGCUGGGGACCGCAAGGCCUGGCGCUUUAAGAAUAGCCUGCGUCCGAUUAGCUAGUUGGUGGGGUAAGGGCCUACCAAGGCGACGAUCGGUAGCUGGUCUGAGAGGAUGGCCAGCCACACUGGGACUGAGACACGGCCCAGACUCCUACGGGAGGCAGCAGUGGGGAAUAUUGGACAAUGGGGGGAACCCUGAUCCAGCAAUGCCGCGUGUGUGAAGAAGGCCUCAGGGUUGUAAAGCAC